rnacentral:rRNA from 1 species
GAACGGACCCUUCGGGGUUAGUGGCGGACGGGUGAGUAACACGUGGGAACGUGCCUUUAGGUUCGGAAUAGCUCCUGGAAACGGGUGGUAAUGCCGAAUGUGCCCUUCGGGGGAAAGAUUUAUCGCCUUUAGAGCGGCCCGCGUCUGAUUAGCUAGUUGGUGAGGUAAUGGCUCACCAAGGCGACGAUCAGUAGCUGGUCUGAGAGGAUGACCAGCCACAUUGGGACUGAGACACGGCCCAAACUCCUACGGGAGGCAGCAGUGGGGAAUCUUGCGCAAUGGGCGGAAGCCUGACGCAGCCAUGCCGCGUGAAUGAUGAAGGUCUUAGGAUUGUAAAAUUCUUUCACCGGGGACGAUAAUGACGGUACCCGGAGAAGAAGCCCCGGCUAACUUCGUGCCAGCAGCCGCGGUAAUACGAAGGGGGCUAGCGUUGCUCGGAAUUACUGGGCGUAAAGGGCGCGUAGGCGGAUCGUUAAGUCAGAGGUGAAAUCCCGGAGCUCAACUUCGGAACUGCCUUUGAUACUGGCGAUCUUGAGUGUGAGAGAGGUAUGUGGAACUCCGAGUGUAGAGGUGAAAUUCGUAGAUAUUCGGAAGAACACCAGUGGCGAAGGCGACAUACUGGCUCAUUACUGACGCUGAGGCGCGAAAGCGUGGGGAGCAAACAGGAUUAGAUACCCUGGUAGUCCACGCCGUAAACGAUGAUUGCUAGUUGUCGGGCUGCAUGCAGUUCGGUGACGCAGCUAACGCAUUAAGCAAUCCGCCUGGGGAGUACGGUCGC